GUCCGAGGUGGCUAAAUGUAGCAGUUUUAAAGGUGCUGUCCACGUUAUCAGUGUUGAGGGUGUUGAGAAUCAUCAGCCCUGUAGUGCGUGUGAGGGAGGGUCUCGUUCUGACGGGGGAAAGCCUACUUGGAGGGGUCGAGCACGCGUGGCCGAUGACAGGCACGUCCCCGAGACAGAUGAGCCUCUCCGGAGCACCUGGCAACACUCGGGAGGGUGAUGCCCAUUCCCGGCCCUUGUCACCAUCACGGCAGAUAUGAAGGGUGUGUGUUAUUGCCGCUCCGUAAACAGGUGGUGCAAGAUGACACCAGCGGCACAAUACCAUCAGUGAAAGACCGAUGACCGCCCCAAGCCAGCCAGCCAUGACCCCAUUCAGUCGUAACAUCAAUCACGUGAAAUGGAUUAAUCUCGCGUCCCAUCGCCCUUAAUAGUCUGCAUAGGUGGCUAGAUCGUCAGUCAAGAAGGGGAUAACACACACACACACACACACACACACACACACACACACACACACACACACACACACACACACACACAGUACAUUUAUCGCUUUGCUGGCACUUGGUUGACAUUCGCUGUCGACUAUUUGCUGCACAGAAUCCGAAAUGGUUCCCAAGAAGCGUUCCAGAUACACACACACACACACACACACACACACACACACACACACACACACACACACACACACACACACACACACACACACACACACACAUACACACACACACCUGUUGUUGUUGUUGUUGUUGUUGGUGCUGUUGUUGCUACGUAUGAUGGAUUUCCUAUUAUGAUCUUUACUCGGUAACCUCUGUUUGUUUGAGUGUCAGUCUA